GAGGGUGUAGCUCAGUGGUAAAGCAUAUGCUUAGCAUGCACAAGGUCCUGGGUUCAAUCCCCAGUCCCUCCA
rnacentral:tRNA from 1 species